AUUGAACGCUGGCGGCAUGCUUUACACAUGCAAGUCGGACGAGUGGCGAACGGGUGAGUAAUAUCUCGGAACGUACCGGGUAAUGGGGGAUAACUACUGGAAACAUUAGCUAAUACCGCAUACCAUUGGAUCGGCCGAUAUGUGAUUAGCUAGUAGGUGGGGUAAAGGCCUACCAAGGCGACGAUCCCUAGCGGGUCUGAGAGGAUGACCAGCCACACUGGGACUGAGACACGGUCCAGACUCCUACGGGAGGCAGCAGUGGGGAAUAUUGCACAAUGGGCGCAAGCCUGAUGCAGCCAUGCCGCGUGUAUGAAGAAGGCCUUCGGGUUGUAAAGUACUUUCAGCGGGGAGGCGUUACCCGCAGAAGAAGCACCGGCUAACUCCGUGCCAGCAGCCGCGGUAAUAC
rnacentral:rRNA from 1 species